rfam:Triticum aestivum genome assembly, contig: Triticum_aestivum_CS42_TGACv1_scaffold_499991_6BL
GAGAGCUUUUUGCGGGGAAACUUGCAAGUCAAGUUUGGGGGAGGCGGGCGUCGACCCAACCUUAU